rnacentral:rRNA from 1 species
UACGUAGGUGGCAAGCGUUGUCCGGAUUUAUUGGGCGUAAAGAGCGUGUAGGCGGCCAGACAGGUCAGCUGUGAAAACUCGAGGCUCAACCUCGAGACGUCGGUUGAAACCGUCUGGCUAGAGUCCGGAAGAGGAGAGUGGAAUUCCCGGUGUAGCGGUGAAAUGCGCAGAUAUCGAGAAGAACACCGGUGGCGAAGGCGGCCAACUGGACGGUGACUGACGCUGAGGCGCGAAAGCGUGGGGAGCAAACAGG